rnacentral:rRNA from 1 species
GGGUUGCACAGACAACUAGGAUGUUGGCUUAGAAGCAGCCAUCAUUCAAAGAGUGCGUAAUAGCUCACUAGUCGAGUGACCCUGCGCCGAAAAUGUAACGGGGCUAAACAGAUUACCGAAGCUGUGGAUUGGACCUAUGGUCCAGUGGUAGGAGAGCGUUCUAAGGGCGGUGAAGCAUGAUCGUAAGGACAUGUGGAGCGCUUAGAAGUGAGAAUGCCGGUAUGAGUAGCGAAAGACUGGUGAGAAUC